UACAGAGGGGGCAAGCGUUGUUUGGAAUUACUGGGCGUAAAGGGCGCGUAGGCGGCCUGCUAAGUCGAACGUGAAAUCCCCGGGCUCAACCCGGGAACUGCGUCCGAUACUGGUUGGCUUGAAUCCGGGAGAGGGAUGCGGAAUUCCAGGUGUAGCGGUGAAAUGCGUAGAUAUCUGGAGGAACACCGGUGGCGAAGGCGGCAUCCUGGACCGGCAUUGACGCUGAGGCGCGAAAGCCAGGGGAGCAAACGGG
rnacentral:rRNA from 1 species